AUGGAGAGUGAAAGGAGGCGUCGUUUAAUCACAUUAAUGUCGCGGCGCUCUCUAACGUACGUGUGCUGCUGCCUCUCUCGCUCCCGUUCAUUUGUCUGCUCAGCUUUCCACCGUUCGGUCUCAAUCUCCGACGCUUCUCUUUCUGCCCUCGACUGUCUCAGUUCAUCACUGAAACACACAACACACACUCAAGGACUAAUCUCGUAUCUCUACUCAUCGGCUCUGCUGCACAUGAUGCCUCUGUUGAAGCUCCGCCCUCUCCUUCUCCAAUUGGCCGAGGCGUUCUCUCAGAGCGGGAACCUCCCCCCCCUCCUCCGUGACGGUUCCCACGGAGACCGUUGCCUCUGUUGCCACGGUGAACCCGGGAGCCUCCGUGUGGGUGGCCUGGACCCCCCGGUCCAAUCGGCCGCUGCGCUGUGCCGCGUGGGCGGGUCCUCUGCCGUCCUCCAGCCUCUGAUAGGACGAGAGAGCAAGUCGGUCUGUGGCAAAGCGGCGGCGCGUCACAGGUGACUCCCCAGCUGGUCAGAGGUUUCUCUCACCUUCUCCACCUCCAGCAGCCUUCUCAACAGUCUCUGCUUGCUCCACUCUCUGUAACCUAGGACACACACACACACACACACACACACACACACACACACACACUUAACAUCGGCCCGACAGAUCAAAAUAACAAUACAUCACAAUAUUGUGCGCUCCAUUCUUUGAAGGAAAUGUGUUGGUACGAGUCUAUCAAAAAUGAUUCUUAACUGAUUUCCAAGGAAAAAUAUUGAACAUUAUAUAUAUAUAUAUAUAUAUAUUCAUGUUUUUAGCUUUUCUGAUGAGUCGGCAGUUUGUUUUUCUGAGAUGAAAAGCGGAUUCCUGACUCACAGGAUCAACGUGUGAAAUACUUUCAAGUAUAUUUCUCUGAGUGGAAAGAAACGCGUAACAUUUUGCAUUCGCUCGUCUCAUUUCUCAUCCCGAGUUCACGCUGCAGGCGGUUCGGUCACAACGUGCCAGGUUUCGAGGAGGGGCCCACGCUGCGACCCGACGAGCGGAGGACGGGGAAGUGAAUGUCUUUUGAUGGGUUUGUGUAGCAGCCGGUGUGGUUUCCGCGUGUGAGCAAAGACCUUUGGUUCCUCCCGCGGGGCCGUCGGUGUCGAGCUCCUCUCGCAGCGCCGCGUUCUCCUGCUGGAGCUGCUUCAGGCUGCCGGAGAGACGAUGAACCGUGGAGCUCAAAGCUUUCUGCUGCCUCUGGGAGCAUUUGCUCUCCGCUCGACUGCUGCAGACCGGAAAGGGAGACGCAGGGCUUCUCAUCAUUUAAUGUGGGGAUGGCAGGUGUUAUACAGAUAUAGAUGUAUAUUACUGGACCCGCCCACAUCUGAUGACCAACUUUUGCUGCAGGAAGGAGUCCUAAACGGAAAUGAGUUUGCAGUUUUUCUCCUGCGGUUUCUUUCCCUCCGAGUUUUAAAGUUUCUUAAAAAGGUUUUUGGUUAGAUGUCUGUCAUAAGGCCCGCGUUUAACACAAGUUUAAGAUUUUAUCAUUUACAGAUUGUCCAUAAACGCCCCGGAGUGGAAUGCGGUAGAUUAUUAUUUAUUUGAUAUAUACUAAUUGUGGCUUCAAAAAUAAAACUAAGUAUCAUAAUCAUAUGUAUUUGAAAUAGAUUUAUUGCAACAAUCCAAUAGAAAAACCCUGUGAGAUCACCAGAGGGAUCCAGCGUGAUGCUAACCUCCCGGGGAUCUGCAUCCCAAAAUCAAUCAUCCCUGCAGGACUCUACUCCGGGCGACAUGGACACGCGUUUCCUCAGAGGCGGAAGUGGGUGAAACUGAAUGAUGUUACAGCUCCAGGACACGAUUCGGUCCUCAAAUAAACAAAGGGGGGGGGGGGGGGGAAAUUGAUCGGAUAUAAAUUGCCAACCUUUUCUCCGCAGCUUCGAGAAGCAUCCUCAGCCUCUGGAUCUGAAAAAAGAAACCCCGCAAACAUGCACACCACAAGUUGGGUGAAAGUUUCCAUUUAAACGUGAUGAUGACAAACCAUUUAAAGCGCCAGAGCUUCUCUCAUUCCUUCGCCGAUUGUUUCCGGUGCUCAAAUAAUAAGUUUAACAUUUGGGUUUAAAAGUCACAGUCACAGGCAGACGUGUCACCUCGUCAAAGUAGGUUUCCACUGUGAUCUUCAGCUCCUCCAGGUUAGUGGUCCUCAGCUCGCUUUGUAGCUUACUGGAGAGACAAAAAAUAAUAAUCUGAAAAUUCUGCUGCUCCACGGAUGAACCAACUGGACUUGAGCCCAGGCGGGAGAGCGUUUCACCUCAGGGCUUUUUCUUUCUCUCUACACUGCUGCUCCAGCUUCAGGAUUCUCUGCUUCAGCCCGUUCAGAACCUUGAUGGAGAGAAAUCAAGUUUACAAAAUCCGUGUGGAAUAAAUCAGAAGAGUGGUCUCUGGCACCGGCUGGACAUACUCACCACACUGCCCUCUCUUUUCUUAUCCACCAAACUACGAGUAUAUUCAGAUCCCUACGAAGGAAUGUUUGAACCCUUUAGGGACAGAUCUAUUGUUUAAAGUACAAACAAAUACGAAUGUGGGGAUCGUACUUUAGUGGGAUCCAACAGCUCCUCUAUCUGUUUCUCUCUCUUAGCGUUAUCCUCCUCCAGGCGGCGGAGUUUGGCUUUCAUCUGCUUUUUGUCGGACUUCUGUUCCUGGAGACUCUGCAGAAGAGAAAGCACCAGCGAGUCACCACACAACAACAAAGUCACGAGAG
ensembl:lncRNA